CGCAUCCGGCCGUGGCCGUGCCGUGCAUAGGCCUUGUAGGGAUAGUCGACCAAAGGCGAAAUCGUACUACCGUCGCCACCGUCGUGAUCCUCGCCGUCGUCUCGGUCGAGGACGAGCGGCGUGUCUGUGGCGAGCGCCAUGCCCACGGUGAGGCUGCGCGGUUUGAUGUCGCCUUGAUAGGCGACGACCAUUGUCUCUGUCGUCGCUGUCGUCACCGCCGCACGAGCCACGUGGCCAUACACAAGGCGACCGCGCGGCAAGAGCACGCCGUGGAACCAUUGCCGGUGGCGGGCGCCGUUGACGAGACCACGACCGUGGGGCAGACCGCGCCACCAGGGUCCCUCGUAGGUUGUGCCGCACUCAAAGAGGGCGAUCGCAUGGCCGUGCGGCACACCGCGCGCCCAACAACCGUCAAAGGUUUCGAGGCGCGAGAUAAAGCGCCUGGCGGCACAGGCGCGCAGGCGCUCCGUGCACGUGCUGCACGGUUCGCCCCGCGUGUCGCACGUGCAGCCGUCAAAGCGGCACCAGUGGCACCAGUGGCAGCCUCCGCGGCUGCACUCGUGCUCGCAACCGAUAUCUCGACGUCGGAGCGGGGCAUUGUGUGUGCGACACGCCAUGCAACGGCACGUCGUCGAGCGCACCGUGGGGUUUGGUGGCGCGGGCGCGAUGCCCUCUGAGUCGCACGGGGGCCACUCGCCGCGACGCAGGAUGCCGCGGCCAUCGAGCAGGUCGUCGGUAAAGUGACCCUCCAUAAAGACCACCGCCAGCCUCGUCGGGCGGGCCGACGGGCAGUGGACGCGCUCGGCCAGCGAUUGAUCGUGCUGGGCGGUGCACACCGAGCCAUAGCCAGAGAGUCGGCCCAUGGCGAACCGGCCGCACGCGAGGUCGUCCGAGGCCAAGAUGCCCUCGCACACCGCCCUGUAUGUGGGCUCUUGGUGCGUGGGACCCAAGGCGACCGCGUGCGAGGCAGUGCGCGACAGCCUGGCAUAGAUGCGCAUCCACCUGACGCCAAACUCGGUCGGCGCCGUGUGGAGGUCGGCUAGCCUGGCACUAAAGUGGCGGCGCACGAGCACGCGCCACAUCGCGUCGUCGUCCAUCAGUACCGACGCCAUCGCGGCGCACGUGGCGGCAAGCGACGCCGCAUCGUCGAUGCCCGCCGCGCUCCCGUCCAAGAGAGCGACGACGAUGCGCCACACGACCUCUUGGGGCAGGUCGACGAGACCCGCAGAGGACCGUCCGUCAGUUGCCAUCAAAUAAGAAAAAAAGAAAAGUCGGGCAGCAGCAGCGGUGUCUGGCCUUGGAGUGGUCCGUCGGCUCUUGGGCGUCCGUGCCGGCGUAUGUGUGUAUGUCACUGUGUGCUCUUGCAAAAGGACAUUGUCCCCGACGACAGCGGCCAGUCGCCGCAUUGGGUCCGCCUUUUUUAAUACUCUAAAAUCAUUGCCCAAUGCGCGCCUGUCGGCCGUGCCCCCAAACUGCCAGAAAAAAUACCAAGAGAAAAGGAGAACAAUUGUG
rnacentral:lncRNA from 1 species